CUUGCCAGACAGACUGUAGGUGCUAAGGUCUACGGUCGAGAGGGAAAGAGCCCAGACCGCCAAUUAAGGUCCCAAAAUUAUGGCUAAGUGGUAAAGGAAGUGAAUUGUCCAAAACAGUCAGGAGGUUGGCUUAGAAGCAGCCAUCCUUUAAAGAAAGCGUAAUAGCUCACUGAUCUAAUUAAGACGAUUUGCGCCGAAGAUGUAACGGGGCUAAAGCCAUAUACCGAAAUUACGGGUUUGUACUAAGUACAAGCGGUAGCGGAGCGUUCUGUAAGCCUGCGAAGGUGUUCCGUAAGGAAUGCUGGAGGUAUCAGAAGUGAGAAUGCUGACAUGAGUAGCGAAAAGAAGUGUGAGAGACACUUCCGCUGAAAGUCCAAGGUUUCCUGCGUAAAGCUAAUCUGCGCAGGGUUAGUCGGCCCCUAAGGCGAGGCAGAGAUGCGUAGUCGAUGGGAAUCAGGUUAAUAUUCCUGAACCAACUAGGAAGUGACGGAUUCAGUAAAUUGUAUGUCCUUAUUGGAUUGGAUGUGCAGUGAAUGAGUCCCGGGAAAUAGCCCUAGUAUAGACCGUACCCGAAACCGACACAGGUGGACAGGUAGAGAAUACCAAAGCGCUUGAGAGAACUAUGUUGAAGGAACUAGGCAAAAUACUUGCGUAACUUCGGGAUAAGCAAGCCCCAUUUCUGGGCAACCAGAGGUGGGGGGCACAUACUAGGGGGUAGCGACUGUUUACUAAAAACACAGGGCUCUGCUAAAUUGAAAGAUGAAGUAUAGGGUCUGACGCCUGCCCGGUGCCGGAAGGUCACGCGGAGGAGUUAGCCGUUAAGGCGAAGCCCCGAAGCCAAGCCCCGGUAAACGGCGGCCGUAACUAUAACGGUCCUAAGGUAGCGAAAUUCCUUGUCGGGUAAGUUCCGACCUGCACGAAAGGCGCAACGACUUGGGCGCUGUCUCGACCAUGGACCCGGUGAAAUUGCACUGGUCGUGAAGAUGCGACUUACCCGCGGAAGGACGGAAAGACCCCGUGAACCUUCACUGCAGCUUGGCAUUGGCCGCUGGUCCCGCGUGUAGAGGAUAGGCAGGAGGCGAAGAUCCGGAGGCGCCAGCCCCCGGGGAGCCGCCCUUGGAAUACUGCCCUCGCGCGACCGGCGUCCUAACCCGAGGCCGUCAACCGGCUCGGGGACCGUGCCAGGCGGGCAGUUUGACUGGGGCGGUCGCCUCCUAAAGGGUAACGGAGGCGCGCGAAGGUCCGCUCGGGACGGUCGGCAACCGUCCUUUUGAAUGCAAGAGUACAAGCGGGCUUGACUGCGAGGCCCACAAGCCGAGCAGGUGCGAAAGCAGGCUCUAGUGAUCCGGCGGCCCCGAGUGGGUGGGCCGUCGCUCAACGGAUAAAAGGUACUCCGGGGAUAACAGGCUGAUCUUGCCCAAGAGUCCACAUCGACGGCAAGGUUUGGCACCUCGAUGUCGGCUCAUCGCAUCCUGGGGCUGGAGCAGGUCCCAAGGGUACGGCUGUUCGCCGUUUAAAGUGGUACGCGAGCUGGGUUUAAAACGUCGUGAGACAGUUUGGUCCCUAUCUUCUGUGGGCGUAGGAGAAUUGAAAGGGCCUGUCCCUAGUACGAGAGGACCGGGAUGGACACACCACUGGUGGACCUGUUGUCGUGCCAACGGCACAGCAGGGUAGCUAUGUGUGGAAGGGAUAACCGCUGAAAGCAUCUAAGCGGGAAGCCUGCCUUAAGAUAAGUUCUCCCUGACGCAAGUCCUGAAGGGCCGAGGUAGACGACCUCGUCGAUAGGCUGGAGGUGGAAGCCCUGUGAGGGGUGGAGCUGACCAGUACUAAUAGCCCGUGCGUCUUGUUUCU
rnacentral:rRNA from 1 species